UACAGAGGUCCCAAGCGUUGUUCGGAUUCAUUGGGCGUAAAGGGUGCGUAGGUGGCGCUGUAAGUCGGGUGUGAAAUUUCGGAGCUUAACUCCGAAACUGCAUUCGAUACUGCGGUGCUUGAGGACUGGAGAGGAGACUGGAAUUCAUGGUGUAGCAGUGAAAUGCGUAGAGAUCAUGAGGAAGACCAGUGGCGAAGGCGGGUCUCUGGACAGUUCCUGACACUGAGGCACGAAGGCCAGGGGAGCGAACGGG
rnacentral:rRNA from 1 species